rnacentral:rRNA from 1 species
UACAGAGGGUGCAAGCGUUAAUCGGAAUUACUGGGCGUAAAGCGUGCGUAGACGGUUACAUAAGUCGGGUGUGAAAGCCCCGGGCUCAACCUGGGAAUUGCAUUCGAGACUGCGUAGCUAGGGUGCGGAAGAGGGAAGCGGAAUUUCCGGUGUAGCGGUGAAAUGCGUAGAUAUCGGAAGGAACACCAGUGGCGAAGGCGGGUCUCUGGACAGUUCCUGACGCUGAGGCACGAAGGCCAGGGGAGCAAACGGG